rnacentral:rRNA from 1 species
CGUCCUAUUAGCUAGUUGGUGAGGUAAUGGCUCACCAAGGAUACGAUGGGUAGGGGUUCUUAGUGGAAGAUCCCCCACACUGGCAUUGAGAUACGGGCCAGACUCAUACGGGAGGCAGCAGUAGGGAAUAUUGGUCAAUGGGCGCAAGCCUGAACCAGCCAUGUCGCGUGCAGGAAGAAGGCUCUUUGAGUUGUAAAAUGAUUUUGUACAGGAGCAAAAAAAUCCCUGCGGGGGUUCUUGAGAGUACUGUAAGAAUAAGCACCGGCUAAUUCCGUGCCAGCAGCCGCGGUAAUACGGAAGGUGCAAGCGUUAUCCGGUUUUAUUGGGUUUAAAGGGUGCGUAGGCGGCUUAUUAAGUCAGUUGUGAAAUCCUAGUGCUUAACGCUAGAACUGCAAUUGAUACUAUU